UACGUAGGGUCCGAGCGUUGUCCGGAAUUAUUGGGCGUAAAGAGCUCGUAGGCGGUCUGUCGCGUCGGCUGUGAAAACACGGGGCUCAACUCCGUGCCUGCAGUCGAUACGGGCAGACUAGAGUUCGGUAGGGGAGAAUGGAAUUCCUGGUGUAGCGGUGAAAUGCGCAGAUAUCAGGAAGAACACCCGUGGCGAAGGCGGCUCUCUGGGACGGUACUGACGCUGAGACGCGAAAGCGUGGGGAGCGAACAGG
rnacentral:rRNA from 1 species